UUACAGUGAAAAUACCCUGUACAACAAAAAAAAAAAAGUAGCUAUCGUAUAGCUUCGUUCGUAUGACGAAAAAGCACAAAGCAGAAGCAGUUCGGGCGUGCAACUAACAAUGAGGUUCACCGUGCCACCAAAUUUGGUACACGCGGCAUUCGAAAGCGUUGAAACAGAAGAUACACGUAUCGGGGGGGAUGGAUUUGAUCUGCUACAUUGAACGGUCAACGACGUUCUGACUGGUGCGCACUCGCGUCGCGCAACACGUGAUCAAGCACCUAACCAGCCAGCCAGUCGAGUGGGGAAAGCCUUUUCCCUUGAGUUUCGUGCACGGUGUACGAGUAACAAGAGGCGAGAGAGUGUGCACGAGAGGAAGGCAGGUCGCGGCGAAGCCAAACACGAAAAUCAAACUUCGGAUGGAAUUCCUAUUCGUUUCGAUGCAUUCGAGCACCGAGAGAACAACCGUGAGACCGUGUUUUAUUGUUUGAAGAUCAGUCCUGAUCUUAUCAUUCAUUUGGAAAUUCCUCGUGGCGAGACAUGGAAAUUUAGAACUGUUAGGAAUACCAGGGACCUAAUCUUAUCGGAUAAAGUUAUUGAGCACAUGUGACAAAGAGUCUCUCAACAAUGUAAAAAUAUUUAGAGAAAGUUUGCAGUGCAAUAAAAUUCACAACAUAAUGCAUAAGACACAAAGGAUCCUCGGACCUUUUAGGGCCUGUGAAAUCCGUAGAAGGAAUAAGGGUGGCUACCUGAAAACUCAAUAACACUCGGAAGUCAACGGGAUUCUAACUGCAGGCCUUUUGAAUAAACGUCGAAUUUUAUAACUGUUGUAAAUGCAAUUAUACAAUAAUUCUAUAUUUUUUAUAAAUAUAAUGUCCAAAAAUCUGAAUGUCCAAAAUGGAGUUGCAGUAUUUCAUAAAUAAAAAUCACGUCUAUGAAAAUUA